ACGGGGACAAACCCGGGAAACUGGGGCUAAUACCCGAUAAGCGAGGAUGCCUGGAAUGGUUUUUCACCAAAAGGGCUUUGGAAGCAUGCUUUCUAACGUCGCCUGGGGAUGGGGCCGCGUCCGAUCAGGUUGUUGGUGAGGUAACGGCUCACCAAGCCUAUAACCGGUACGGGCCGUGAGAGCGGUAGCCCGGAGAUGGGUACUGAUACAAGGACCCAUGCCCUACGGGGCGCACCAGUCGCGAAAACUCCGCAAUGCACGAAAGUGUGACGGGGCUACCCCGAGUGCCGUCCGCUGAGGAUGGCUUUUCCUUGGUGUAACUAGCCGGGGGAAUAAGGAGAGGGC
rnacentral:rRNA from 1 species